rnacentral:rRNA from 1 species
AUUGAACGCUGGCGGCAUGCCUUACACAUGCAAGUCGAACGGUAACGCGGGGCAACCUGGCGACGAGUGGCGAACGGGUGAGUAAUGCUUCGGAACGUGCCCAGUUGUGGGGGAUAACUGCUCGAAAGAGCAGCUAAUACCGCAUACGACCUGAGGGUAAAAGCGGGGGAUCGCAAGACCUCGCGCAAUUGGAGCGGCCGAUGUCGGAUUAGCUAGGUGGUGGGGUAAAGGCCCACCAAGGCGACGAUCCGUAGCUGGUCUGAGAGGACGACCAGCCACACUGGGACUGAGACACGGCCCAGACUCCUACGGGAGGUAGCAGUGGGGAAUUUUGGACAAUGGACGCAAGUCUGAUCCAGCCAUGCCGCGUGCGGGAAGAAGGCCUUCGGGUUGUAAACCGCUUUUGUCAGGGAAGAAAUCUUCUGGGUUAAUACCUCGGGAGGAUGACGGUACCUGAAGAAUAAGCACCGGCUAACUACGUGCCAGCCGCCGCAGUAAUAC